AGUGAACGCUGGCGGCAGGCCUAACACAUGCAAGUCGAACGGCAGCACAGUAAGAGCUCGCUCUUACGGGUGGCGAGUGGCGGAUGGGUGAGGCAUACAUCGGAAUCUAAUUUUUCGUGGGGGACAACGUAGGGACACUUACGCUAAUACCGCAUAUGACCUACGGGUGAAAGCAGGGGAUCUAGGCACCUUGCGCGAUUCAAUGAGCUGAUGUCGGAUUAGCUAGUUGGCGGGGUAAAGGCCCACCAAGGCAACGGACCGUAGCUGGUCUGAGAGGAUGAUCAGCCACACUGGAACUGGGACACGGUCCAGACUCCUACGGGAGGCAGCAGGGGGGAAUAUUGGACAAUGGGCGCAAGCCUGAUCCAGCCAUACCGCGUGGGUGAAGAAGGCCUUCGGGUUGUAAAGCCCUGUUGUUGGGAAAGAAAAGCAGCAGGUGAAUACCCCGCUGUUCUGACGGUACCCAAAGAAUAAGCACCGGCUAACUUCGUG
rnacentral:rRNA from 1 species